rnacentral:rRNA from 1 species
GAUGAACGCUAGCGGCAGGCCUAAUACAUGCAAGUCGAACGAGAUUAAGAGGCUUGCUUCUUAUGAAAGUGGCGCACGGGUGCGUAACGCGUAUGCAACCUACCUUAAUCAGGGGGAUAGCCCGAAGAAAUUCGGAUUAAGACCGCAUAAAAACACAGGAUAGCAUUAUCCAAUGUUCAAAUAUUUAUAGGAUUAAGAUGGGCAUGCGUGUCAUUAGCUAGUUGGCGGGGUAACGGCCCACCAAGGCGACGAUGACUAGGGGAUCUGAGAGGAUGACCCCCCACACUGGUACUGAGACACGGACCAGACUCCUACGGGAGGCAGCAGUAAGGAAUAUUGGUCAAUGGAGGGAACUCUGAACCAGCCAUGCCGCGUGCAGGAAGACAGCCCUCUGGGUCGUAAACUGCUUUUAUUCGGGAAUAAAUCUUUCUACGUGUAGGAAGCUGAAUGUACCGAAGGAAUAAGGAUCGGCUAACUCCGUGCCAGCAGCCGCGGUAAUACGGAGGAUCCAAGCGUUAUCCGGAUUUAUUGGGUUUAAAGGGUGCGUAGGCGGCUUAUUAAGUCAGGGGUGAAAGACGGUGGCUCAACCAUCGCAGUGCCCUUGAUGCUGAUGAGCUUGAAUACACUAGAGGUAGGCGGAAUGUGACAAGUAGCGGUGAAAUGCAUAGAUAUGUCACAGAACACCGAUUGCGAAGGCAGCUUACUAUGGUGUUAUUGACGCUGAGGCACGAAAGCGUGGGGAUCAAACAGG